rnacentral:tRNA from 1 species
GGGGGCGUAGCUCAGUUGGCCAGAGCGUCCGGCUUACACCCGGAAGGUCGUCGGUUCGAUCCCGGCCGCCCCCACCA